rnacentral:rRNA from 1 species
UGGGGAAUAUUGGACAAUGGGCGCAAGCCUGAUCCAGCCAUGCCGCGUGGGUGAAGAAGGCCUUCGGGUUGUAAAGCCCUUUUGUUGGGAAAGAAAAGCACGGGGCUAAUACCCUUGUGUUCUGACGGUACCCAAAGAAUAAGCACCGGCUAACUUCGUGCCAGCAGCCGCGGUAAUACGAAGGGUGCAAGCGUUACUCGGAAUUACUGGGCGUAAAGCGUGCGUAGGUGGUGAUUUAAGUCCGUUGUGAAAGCCCUGGGCUCAACCUGGGAAUUGCAGUGGAUACUGGGUCACUAGAAUGUGGUAGAGGGUAGCGGAAUUCCUGGUGUAGCAGUGAAAUGCGUAGAGAUCAGGAGGAACAUCCAUGGCGAAGGCAGCUACCUGGACCAACAUUGACACUGAGGCACGAAAGCGUGGGGAGCAAACA